rnacentral:rRNA from 1 species
AUUGAACGCUGGCGGCAUGCCUUACACAUGCGAGUCGAACGGCAGCACGGGUGCUUGCACCUGGUGGCGAGUGGCGAACGGGUGAGUAAUACAUCGGAACGUACCUUAUCGUGGGGGAUAACGCAGCGAAAGCUGUGCUAAUACCGCAUACGCCCUGAGGGGGAAAGCGGGGGAUCGCAAGACCUCGCGCGAUUAGAGCGGCCGAUGCCUGAUUAGCUAGUUGGUGGGGUAAAAGCCCACCAAGGCGACGAUCAGUAGCUGGUCUGAGAGGAAGAGCAGCCACACUGGGACUGAGACACGGCCCAGACUCCUACGGGAGGCAGCAGUGGGGAAUUUUGGACAAUGGGGGCAACCCUGAUCCAGCAAUGCCGCGUGAGUGAAGAAGGCCUUCGGGUUGUAAAGCUCUUUUGUCAGGGAAGAAACACCGGCUCUAACACAGUCCGGGAAUGACGGUACCUGAAGAAUAAGCACCGGCUAACUACGUGCCAGCCGCCGCUGUAA